UAUUAUUUUAGAUGUAAAAUAUUUAAACUUGAGUAGUAUUAGAAUAAGGUCUUGAAACUUAAAGAAUUUGGCGGUAUUUUAGUCUAUUUAGAGGAAUCUGUCCCAUAAUCGAUAAUCCGCGUUGGACCUUACUUAAAUUGUUAAAUAUGUAUACCGCUGUUGUUGAAAAUCUUUUUAGAGUAAUUUUUUAAAAAUUUGUUAAAUAAUUUUUCAGGUCAAGGUGCAGUUUAUAUUUAAGUGGAGAUGGAUUACAAUAUUUAUUGAAUAUACGGAUUAUUAUUUGAAAUUAGUAAUAUAAAGGUGGAUUUAAUAGUAAUAUUAUGAAGUUUGUUAAUAUGAUUGUAGCUCUAAAAUAUGUACACAUCGCCCGUCGCUCUCGUUAUAUUUAAGGUGAG
rnacentral:rRNA from 1 species